rnacentral:rRNA from 1 species
AGCCAUCUCAGUUCGGAUUGCACUCUGCAACUCGAGUGCAUGAAGUUGGAAUCGCUAGUAAUCGCGGAUCAGCAUGCCGCGGUGAAUACGUCCCGGGCCUUGUACACACCGCCCGUCACACCAUGGGAGUUGGUUUACCCGAAGGUCGCUGUGCUAACCGCAAGGAGGCAGGACGACCACGGUAGGGUCAGACGACUGGGGUGAAGUCGUAACAAGGUAGCCGUA